CAUCACACCAUGAAUUCAAGAUCCUGUUCAAUGGAUUUACAAUGAUCCCUCUGUAUGGAUUUACAUUCAUGAAUUCAGCUGAAAUGGUUUACACCAUGGGCGAAUGCGAAUACCUCAUUAACAUGAUAGGUUUGGAAACAGCAGUAUCAAUACACUAAAAGUUCCAAUGUCACAAGGAUGAUCGAGUUGGAGUUGACUCAUGAUGAUAGGGGCAAGAUUCAAUGUGCUCUCUUUGGAAGUUAUGUGGACAUUGUGAAUGAACAUGUGCAAACUGAUGGCCAUGCUAUGCCUAUUGUUAUCCUGUAGCAUGCAAAGAUAAACCUUCAAAGGAAACGUUGUCAUCCAGAAUGUGAUGCAUGCUACUAAAAGAGAUCUUGAUCACCAACAAGGCCAAAUACAUGCUAAAAGAGAGCAAAUGAAUAUGUUUGCAGCAACUCAAAAGGGAGAAGUUUUAUGCAAGUUCGUCGUGUCUGUGGGCAGAAAAUUGAAACAUAAGUUGCUAUGGCAAAGUACAUAUGGAGGACCCUUUUGCUAUUGUUGAGUACUGUUACGAUUACAGAUGAACCUUAGUGGGAAUGGCUGCUGAUGCACUUUGCCAUUGUUGAGUAGUGUUUAUUUUCUUAUAAUGGGACACUGAUAAGCUUCUGAUGCACCCAAUAUGUACAUACUUUCCUUGAAGCUCUCUUGAUUGCAAUGAUAUCGUUCAUCAUGCAAGCACCUUAAUUUCAACUGAUGUAAUUUGGCCCUGGAGCUUUGAUCAUUGUGCUUAUAUUUAUAUUGUCUUCAUUUUGUCACUUUUAAUAUUUAAAUAGUUUCAUUGUGUG